UCCUACGGGAGGCAGCAGUGGGGAAUAUUGGACAAUGGGGGAAACCCUGAUCCAGCGACGCCGCGUGAGUGAAGAAGUAUUUCGGUAUGUAAAGCUCUAUCAGCAGGGAAGAAAAUGACGGUACCUGACUAAGAAGCCCCGGCUAACUACGUGCCAGCAGCCGCGGUAAUACGUAGGGGGCAAGCGUUAUCCGGUUUUACUGGGUGUAAAGUGAGCGUAGACGGCAUAGCAAGUCUGAUGUGAAAGAUCGGGGCUCAACCCCGGACCUGCAUUGGAAACUGUUAAGCCGGAGUACAGGAGAGGUA
rnacentral:rRNA from 1 species